GUUACCUUGUUAGAUCAGCUCCCAUUUUAGCUCCCUAUUCCCUCUUUCUCCUCCUCCUCCUCCUCCGUCUUCUUCCAUCGUCUCUCUCUGCUCUCUCUCAUCUCUGUUAGUCUCAUAAUUAAACAAGCACUUGAUGCAAUUAUUACCCACAAUUCCAUUUCCAUCAAGAGAGUUGCAGCAUCAGCAUCAGCAGCAGCAGCAGUUUUCAACCUGCCCUGCCACCCACUGCUCCUCCUUCCACUGCUCUGCCACUAACGGCCUCCCCCACCCCCACUGCUCCGUGCAUGGCCGCCACCCACCACCUCUUCAACUACGCCCCCACCACCGCCUCGGCCACCAUCCCCACCUCUGCCUCCGACCAUCUCAACAUGCUGGGCCUUCGUGACGUCGUCUUCAUCUCCCCCCAGCAGCAGCACCACCACCACCAGCCCAUCAUCCCCUCCUCCGCUGCCGCUGCCCUCGGGGUCGGUGUCAGCAUCUUCCCCCUCCUCGCUGCCACCCCUUGUGUCGACAUAGCCAGCACCGAUCCGCAGGCGGCAUCAUCGAGCCUCGCUGCUGCGAAGAAGGACAAUAUCCCGAUGGGGAUCGAGAUCGAGAGGCUCGAUGAUGGCGGCAGUGGAAACGGGAACGUUAACAGUGGUGGCUCCAAUAUGAGGGCCUGCCGGGACUGCGGCAACAGGGCCAAGAAGGAGUGUAGUUAUCGGAGGUGUCGGACUUGCUGCAAGAGCAGAGGCUACGACUGCGCCACCCACGUCAAGAGCACGUGGGUCCCCGCCUCCCGGAGGCGGGAGCGCCAGGUGGCCAUGGUCGGCAUCAGCUUCGCCGGCGGAGGCUCUUCUGGGUCGUCCUCCGGAGCCGCUGCCAAGAAACAGAGGGUCGAGAAUGCCUCUUCCGCCUCCAAUUCUGCCACCCCUAGAAGCUUUGAAUCCAGCCCUUUCCGUCAAGACGCUAGCUUCAAGCAAUCCUUGCCGAGUCAAGUCCGAGCUCCGGCGGUCUUCCGGUGCAUCAGAGUGACUGCAAUCAGCGACAAUGCUGCUGAACUCGCUUACCAGGCGACUGUCAGCAUUAGCGGGCACGUCUUCAAGGGCUACCUCUACGAUCACGGGACCGGCGCCAAAAACAGCUCAGGCUCCAUCGCUUCUAUCUCAAAACUCCGGCUCGAGGAAGGGACCACCAGCAUGAGAGAUCGUGACUCCUCUCCUCCUCCCCCGAUAGUCAACCCGUCCAAUGCUUUCGCAGCAGCCUCGGGUUCCCAGAGGUUGCUCGGAGGUACCAAAUUUCACUUAAAAGGAUUGAUCUUUAAUUACACGUUUACACGGUUGCAAAUUGCAGAAUGAACAGAUGGAUAUUUCAUUGAUUUGUUUUCAUACUCGAAUUGAUAAUAAUCAUCUAUUGUUGAUGUUUGGGAAGACAGAGCAACAGUAAGAAAAGCGGAUUCAUCGGCAAGAAAGCGACUCGAGUUGCGACACCCUUGUCGAUUUUUUUUCUUUAGAAGAAGAAGAUAAAGCGAAAGCAUCAACCUUUUGAGUUUUAAUAUAUUUUUUCGCGUUGUCAAAUGCAAGUUGCGAUUGCAAUGCUUGCAUCUAUAAUAAUUGUUUGCUCUUGCUCUAACCUGCGUUUAAAUUUUGCUUAAAGUGUUCCAUCUUUGACAGUAGUUCACCGAUCGAAGUGGUCUCAAGAUGUGAGUUUCACGGACCAAAUUGGCUGCCUUAAGAUGCAAACUUGAUGGGCCCAACUGAUGUGAGGAGUGAGAUUAGAGAAGAAGCAGAACAAGCAGGAUGAACCUAGUACAAGCCAAAACCACAGCAACAUCUGGGUUAGAAUAAAGCAUCGAACAACUUGCCCGAAGAUGUCAGUAUUUACUUCUACUACUAGUCUCUCCUAGAUACAUGUAAAAAUAGGCCCUUCUUCGGAGACUUAAGUACAAUGGGAUACAUAUAAUUCCCUCAAGUUCGAACGUUCUACCACUUAACCCUGAGUUUGUAAAUCUCUGCUGUUUCUUUUAUCAUAGCAAUCACUGACCAUAUGAAAGA